rnacentral:rRNA from 1 species
AGGAUGAACGCUGGCGGUAUGCUUAACACAUGCAAGUCGAACGGAGUGCUUCGGCACUUAGUGGCGGACGGGUGAGUAACGCGUGAGAAUCUGGCUUCGGGUUCGGGACAACAGCGGGAAACUGCUGCUAAUACCGGAUGUGCCUGAGGGUAAAAGAUUAAUUGCCCGAAGAUGAGCUCGCGUCCGAUUAGCUAGUUGGUGUGGUAAGAGCGCACCAAGGCACCGAUCGGUAGCUGGUCUGAGAGGACGAUCAGCCACACUGGGACUGAGACACGGCCCAGACUCCUACGGGAGGCAGCAGUGGGGAAUUUUCCGCAAUGGGCGAAAGCCUGACGGAGCAAUACCGCGUGAGGGAGGAAGGCUCUUGGGUUGUAAACCUCUUUUCUCAGGGAAGAACACAAUGACGGUACCUGAGGAAUCAGCAUCGGCUACUCCGUGCCAGCAGCCGC